rnacentral:rRNA from 1 species
UACAGAGGUCCCAAGCGUUGUUCGGAUUCAUUGGGCGUAAAGGGCGCGUAGGCGGCCACCGCAAGUCGGUUGUGAAAUCUCUGGGCUUAACCCAGAAAGGUCAACCGAUACUGCGGGGCUAGAGUGCAGAAGGGGCAACUGGAAUUCUCGGUGUAGCGGUGAAAUGCGUAGAUAUCGAGAGGAACACCUGCGGCGAAGGCGGGUUGCUGGGCUGACACUGACGCUGAAGCGCGAAAGCUAGGGGAGCGAACGGG